GAAAUGCGAUAAGUAGUGUGAAUUGCAGAAUUCAGUGAAUCAUCGAAUCUUUGAACGCACAUUGCGCCCCUCGGUAUUCCGUGGGGCAUGCCUGUUCGAGCGUCAUCUACACCCUCAAGCUCUGCUUGGUGUUGGGCGUCUGUCCCGCCUCCUUCGCGCGCGGACUCGCCCCAAAUCCAUUGGCGGCGGCCCUUGCCUCACUCUCGCGCAGCACAUUGCGCUUCUCGAGGCGCGGCGGACCGCGUCCAGCAAGCAACCGUCACACCGUCUUUGACCUCGGAUCAGGUAGGGAUACCCGCUGAACUUAAGC
rnacentral:misc_RNA from 1 species